UAAAAGACAAAAGAUUUCUUUGUCUUCUAAUUUUCCCUCAUCAAGUAUGCAGGGGAAAAUUAGAAGACAAAGAAAUUCAACUAAAUUUCCCCACCCGGGGAAAUUU